rnacentral:lncRNA from 1 species
AGACUGAGAAAGUGCCACAGGGCGGGGGCCGCAUCCGCCCCUCGGCUUCUGGCUACUGACCCUACGGCUUUGUGAGUGAAAGUGAAGAGACACUUCGAGGCAGGAGGUCCUGGAACCAAUCCCCCUCUGAUACUGAGGGACAACUAUUACACAAGAGAAAUAUUCUACUAUUCACAAAAUCCUGUUUAAGUGUCGUGAAAUACAAACACCAGGGAAUCAAGAACUUUAGAAAAUUGUGGCUGUGUUCCCAUACGGGGUACAAAGAACCAGUGAGUCCCAUUUGUUGUGGUUCCUGCAUUCGAUGACUCCAGAUGUGCCACCACCGAGCUAGUCUUAUGACAACCUAGAAGGCAAAUUGGGAUGGCCCUAUAUUUGUCACUGACAGCAGAAGGGUUGAGAACUUAGAUCCUGACAGGAGGCCCACCUUUAUUGGAGAACUGGCUCUGCAACUUAGGAUUAUUACAACUUGUAAAAAUUAGUGAGUUAUACGUGGGAAGCAUUUUGGCCUCACAACUGAGAAGCAGAGAAGUGGUUCAAGGCUCAUGUAAGACUGCUGGGAUUUGAAAUUUAUCCUAUUAUUUGAAGACU